rfam:Lyngbya sp. PCC 8106 1099428180540, whole genome shotgun sequence.
GUCAGCACCCCGCUCUAAAGAGACGGGGCAUCAUGCUUCUCUUUUUAGGUAGCUAGUACCCGCCUAAGUCCCUUGAGGGCUACGUUAUCGGCAAGAGUUAACGUUCCUACCCGGAGAUGCGUGGCCAGUCUCCGGCUCUAGAACCACAGCAUUAAACAGUCCUACGAGGGGUAAGACAGUGUGUUGUGGAAAGUACCGACCGAUAACAUUGGCGAGGCAAACAUUAC